GGGGAAGGUUAAGUUUGAAGUGAAUUGAAAUGAAACUACAGUAUAUGUGCUUGGAUUCUGCGUUGGACCAAAAUGGGUUCUUUUCAACAUAGUAAGUGGUCAGACAGCAAGCGAUAUACUGUGGAAGUAAGGUGUCUGAGGAGCACAUCAUUUCUUCAGCUGAAGAAUGUCAACCACCUUACUAUGAGCAUAUUGAGGAGAAUGAGUACUUAUUUAACAGAAAGAAGAAAGUCAAUAAGGAAGUGCACAGAAUGCAGUGUGAUUGUACCUUAGAUCCUGGUCAGAUAAUGGCUUUGAUGCAUAGACUUCACUAUAUGCUGAAUAUGGUUAUGUGCAUUUUACAAUGAUCCAUGUUCUAGUGGUUGUGGCAAGGACUGUCUUAACAGAUUGUUGAUGAUAGAAUGGUUGGUAUCUUUUCCUCUCUUGUUGGUUAAUUUUGCCAAAAGUCUUCCUUCUCACAUCGUCAUCGUCAAUCACAUUGAUCUCCAAAUAGUAACAGCAGAAGUGCUUGUGGAGAGAUGUGAAACAGGGCUGUAAAGUGAAAGUUGAAGUGUUUAAAACAGAGAAGAAAGGCUGGGAAUGGAGAACUCUUGAAGAUCUGGAACUG